rfam:Stegodyphus mimosarum contig88141, whole genome shotgun sequence.
GCCUUCGUGGUGUAGCGGUCAGCACGCUCGACGCGUAACCGAGAGGUCCGUGGUUCGAUUCCCGGCAAAGUCG